AGUGAACGCUGGCGGUAGGCCUAACACAUGCAAGUCGAACGGCAGCACAGUAAGAGCUUGCUCUUACGGGUGGCGAGUGGCGGACGGGUGAGGAAUACAUCGGAAUCUACUUUUUCGUGGGGGAUAACGUAGGGAAACUUACGCUAAUACCGCAUACGACCUACGGGUGAAAGCAGGGGAUCUUCGGACCUUGCGCGAUUGAAUUAGCCGAUGUCGGAUUAGCUAGUUGGCGGGGUAAAGGCCCACCAAGGCGACGAUCCGUAGCUGGUCUGAGAGGAUGAUCAGCCACACUGGAACUGAGACACGGUCCAGACUCCUACGGGAGGCAGCAGUGGGGAAUAUUGGACAAAGGGCGCAAGCCUGAUCCAGCCAUACCGCGUGGGUGAAGAAGGCCUUCGGGUUGUAAAGCCCUUUUGUUGGGAAAGAAAAGCAGCAGGUUAAUACCCCGCUGUUCUGACGGUACCCAAAGAAUAAGCACCGGCUAACUUCGUG
rnacentral:rRNA from 1 species